rnacentral:rRNA from 1 species
UGCGUAGGUGGGCAGGUAAGUCAGCGGUGAAAUCCCCGAGCUUAACUUGGGAACUGCCAUUGAUACUAUCUGUCUUGAAUACCUUGGAGGUGAGCGGAAUAUGUCAUGUAGCGGUGAAAUGCUUAGAUAUGACAUAGAACACCAAUUGCGAAGGCAGCUCACUACACGGUCAUUGACACUGAGGCACGAAAGCGUGGGGAUCAAACA